UACAUAGGGGGCAAGCGUUGUCCGGAAUCACUGGGCGUAAAGGGAGCGUAGGCGGAAAUUUAAGUUAAGUGUGAAAUCCUUGGGCUUAACCCAAGAACUGCACUUAAUACUGGGUUUCUAGAGUGUUGGAGAGGUAAGUGGAAUUCCUAGUGUAGCGGUAGAAUGCGUAGAUAUUAGGAGGAACAUCAGAGGCGAAGGCGACUUACUGGACAAUAACUGACGCUGAGGCUCGAAAGCGUGGGGAGCAAACAGG
rnacentral:rRNA from 1 species